rnacentral:rRNA from 1 species
CCUACGGGCGGCUGCAGUGGGGAAUAUUGGACAAUGGGCGGAAGCCUGAUCCAGCCAUGCCGCGUGUGUGAAGAAGGCCUUUUGGUUGUAAAGCACUUUAAGCGGGGAGGAGGCUACUUGGAUUAAUACUCUAGGAUAGUGGACGUUACUCGCAGAAUCAGCACCGGCUAACUCUGUGCCAGCAGCCGCGGUAAUACAGAGGGUGCGAGCGUUAAUCGGAUUUACUGGGCGUAAAGCGUGCGUAGGCGGCUUUUUAAGUCGGAUGUGAAAUCCCUGAGCUUAACUUAGGAAUUGCAUUCGAUACUGGGAAGCUAGAGUAUGGGAGAGGAUGGUAGAAUUCCAGGUGUAGCGGUGAAAUGCGUAGAGAUCUGGAGGAAUACCGAUGGCGAAGGCAGCCAUCUGGCCUAAUACUGACGCUGAGGUACGAAAGCAUGGGGAGCAAACAGGAUUAGAUACCCGAGUAGUC